UACGAAGGGGGCUAGCGUUGCUCGGAAUCACUGGGCGUAAAGGGUGCGUAGGCGGGUUUUUAAGUCAGGGGCGAAAUCCUGGAGCUCAACUCCAGAACUGCCUUUGAUACUGAAGAUCUUGAGUCCGGGAGAGGUGAGUGGAACUGCGAGUGUAGAGGUGAAAUUCGUAGAUAUUCGCAAGAACACCAGUGGCGAAGGCGGCUCACUGGCCCGGUACUGACGCUGAGGCACGAAAGCGUGGGGAGCAAACAGG
rnacentral:rRNA from 1 species